GACGAACGCUGGCGGCGUGCUUAACACAUGCAAGUCGAACGGAAAGGCCCUGCUUUUGUGGUGUGCUCGAGUGGCGAACGGGUGAGUAACACGUGAGUAACCUGCCCUUUACUUUGGGAUAACUUCAGGAAACUGUGGCUAAUACCGGAUAGUAUCUCCUGCUGCAUGGUGGUGGUUGGAAAGUUUCUGCGGUUGGGGAUGGACUCGCGGCUUAUCAGCUUGUUGGUGUGGUAGUGGCUUACCAAGGCUUUGACGGGUAGCCGGCCUGAGAGGGUGACCGGCCACAUUGGGACUGAGAUACGGCCAAGACGCAUACGGGAGGAAGCAGUGGGGAAUAUUGCAAGAUGGGCGGAAGGAGGAAGCAGCGACGCCGGGUGCGGGAUGACGGCCUUAGGGUUGUAAAGCGCUUGAGCCUGUGAAGAAGAGUGAGUGACGGUAAUGGAUAAAGAAGCACCGGCUAACUACGUG
rnacentral:rRNA from 1 species